ensembl:lncRNA
GUAUUUUCCAGCCUCUUUUGUGGUCAGGCUCAGGCCCGCGAGCUAUUCUCCACCAAGAGGACUUGCCCUAUGAAACGCUGAUUCAGAAGGAGCAGUUUGAGGAAGGAGGAGGCUUGGAGUGGAGACCGUUUCCCCAGCAGUGGCAGAGGCUUUCAGGGAUACGGCAGUUGCAAGUCGAGUGGAGCUCUGGAUUCCCAAUUGUUUUUACAGGAAUCAGACGUCCCUCCAGAUGAAAGCUGCUGACCACAAGACGAUAGACUCUAGACUGGCUGAAACCAGAAGGGUGGAUCCUUAGUCCAAUACAACUGGUGUAGGAAGAUGACGUGAAGAGACAGAGACCCACAGGGAGAACACAGAGGCGGAAACUGGGGAGAUGCAGCGGCAAGCCAAGGAGCAUGAGGACUGAUGGCCCCCCAGAAGCUACGAUGAAGGAAGGGAUAUUCUAUCCAGAGUCCCAGAGGGAACACAGCUCUGCUGACACUGUGAUUUUGGACUUCUAGCCUUCAGAACUGUGAGAGAAUAU